rnacentral:rRNA from 1 species
UACAUAGGGUGCAAGCGUUAUCCGGAUUUAUUGGGCGUAAAGGGUGCGUAGACGGAGAAGCAAGUUAGUUGUGAAAUCCCUCGGCUUAACUGAGGAACUGCAACUAAAACUACUUCCCUUGAGUCUCGGAGAGGAAAGUGGAAUUCCUAGUGUAGCGGUGAAAUGCGUAGAUAUUAGGAGGAACACCAGUGGCGAAGGCGGCUUUCUGGACGAUAACUGACGUUGAGGCACGAAAGUGUGGGGAGCAAACAGG